AAUGGGAUAGCUGGGUCAAAUGGUGGUUUCAUUCCCAGUUUUCCAAGGAAUCUCCACACUGCUUUCCAUAUUGGCUGCACCAAUUUACAGUCCCACCAGCAAU
rnacentral:pre_miRNA from 1 species